rnacentral:rRNA from 1 species
AUUGAACGCUGGCGGCAUGCCUUACACAUGCAAGUCGAACGGCAGCACGGGUGCUUGCACCUGGUGGCGAGUGGCGAACGGGUGAGUAAUACAUCGGAACGUACCUUAUCGUGAGGGAUAACGCAGCGAAAGUUGCGCUAAUACCGCAUAAGCCCUGAGGGGGAAAGCGGGGGACCGUAAGGCCUCGCGCGAUUAGAGCGGCCGAUGUCUGAUUAGCUUGUUGGUGAGGUAAAAGCUCACCAAGGCGAUGAUCAGUAGCUGGUCUGCGAGGACGAUCAGCCACACUGGGACUGAGACACGGCCCAGACUGCUAGGGGAGGCAGCAGUGGGGAAUUUUGGACAAUGGGGGCAACCCUGAUCCAGCAAUGCCGCGUGAGGGAAGAAGGCCUUCGGGUUGUAAAGCUCUUGUGUCAGGGAAGAAACAGCAGCUCUAACACAGUCUGCGAAUGACGGUACCUGAAGGAUAAGCACCGGCUAACUACGUGCCAGCCGCCGCCGUAA